rnacentral:ncRNA from 1 species
UUUACCCUGCUACUUGCGAAGUCUCAAGUUGUACUUGGGAUACGCUCAAAUGCAAUCUAUUUAGAUAUACUACGAGCAUAGCAAGAGUGGGUUAAA